rnacentral:rRNA from 1 species
CCUACGGGUGGCAGCAGUGAGGAAUAUUGGUCAAUGGGCGUAAGCCUGAACCAGCCAAGUCGCGUGAGGGAUGAAGGUUCUAUGGAUCGUAAACCUCUUUUAUAAGGGAAUAAAGUGUGGGACGUGUCCUAUUUUGUAUGUACCUUAUGAAUAAGGAUCGGCUAACUCCGUGCCAGCAGCCGCGGUAAUACGGAGGAUCCGAGCGUUAUCCGGAUUUAUUGGGUUUAAAGGGUGCGUAGGCGGCCUUUUAAGUCAGCUGUGAAAGUCUGUGGCUCAACCAUAGAAUUGCCGUUGAAACUGGGAGGCUUGAGGACAGUAGAGGCAGGCGGAAGUCGUGGUGUAGCGGUGAAAUGCGUAGAUAUCAAGAAGAACGCCGAGUGCGAAGGCAGCCUACUA